rnacentral:rRNA from 2 species
AUAAGAUGAGAGUUUGAUCCUGGCUCAGGACGAACGCUGGCGGCAUGCCUAAUACAUGCAAGUCGAACGAGCUUCCGUUGAAUGACGUGCUUGCACUGAUUUCAACAAUGAAGCGAGUGGCGAACUGGUGAGUAACACGUGGGGAAUCUGCCCAGAAGCAGGGGAUAACACUUGGAAACAGGUGCUAAUACCGUAUAACAACAAAAUCCGCAUGGAUUUUGUUUGAAAGGUGGCUUCGGCUAUCACUUCUGGAUGAUCCCGCGGCGUAUUAGUUAGUUGGUGAGGUAAAGGCCCACCAAGACGAUGAUACGUAGCCGACCUGAGAGGGUAAUCGGCCACAUUGGGACUGAGACACGGCCCAAACUCCUACGGGAGGCAGCAGUAGGGAAUCUUCCACAAUGGACGAAAGUCUGAUGGAGCAAUGCCGCGUGAGUGAAGAAGGGUUUCGGCUCGUAAAACUCUGUUGUUAAAGAAGAACACCUUUGAGAGUAACUGUUCAAGGGUUGACGGUAUUUAACCAGAAAGCCACGGCUAACUACGUGCCAGCAGCCGCGGUAAUACGUAGGUGGCAAGCGUUGUCCGGAUUUAUUGGGCGUAAAGCGAGCGCAGGCGGUUUUUUAAGUCUGAUGUGAAAGCCUUCGGCUUAACCGGAGAAGUGCAUCGGAAACUGGGAGACUUGAGUGCAGAAGAGGACAGUGGAACUCCAUGUGUAGCGGUGGAAUGCGUAGAUAUAUGGAAGAACACCAGUGGCGAAGGCGGCUGUCUAGUCUGUAACUGACGCUGAGGCUCGAAAGCAUGGGUAGCGAACAGGAUUAGAUACCCUGGUAGUCCAUGCCGUAAACGAUGAGUGCUAAGUGUUGGAGGGUUUCCGCCCUUCAGUGCUGCAGCUAACGCAUUAAGCACUCCGCCUGGGGAGUACGACCGCAAGGUUGAAACUCAAAGGAAUUGACGGGGGCCCGCACAAGCGGUGGAGCAUGUGGUUUAAUUCGAAGCUACGCGAAGAACCUUACCAGGUCUUGACAUCUUCUGCCAAUCUUAGAGAUAAGACGUUCCCUUCGGGGACAGAAUGACAGGUGGUGCAUGGUUGUCGUCAGCUCGUGUCGUGAGAUGUUGGGUUAAGUCCCGCAACGAGCGCAACCCUUAUUAUCAGUUGCCAGCAUUCAGUUGGGCACUCUGGUGAGACUGCCGGUGACAAACCGGAGGAAGGUGGGGAUGACGUCAAAUCAUCAUGCCCCUUAUGACCUGGGCUACACACGUGCUACAAUGGA